rnacentral:sRNA from 1 species
UUUGCGAAAGGUCCUCGAGCUCCCAGUGCUCGCUCUCGUCUUACCUUGCACCACCUUCGACAUAAACUUAUCCACUCGUAUAUAAGCUUGCCUGAUCUUCCCAAGCGAAUAUACCUCCGUCCUAUACCAUACGCCAACAGACAAGUGUCAAGAGGUAUAUCAUACAUAUAUCUCAUUGCUUAGUUAAACUACGGCUUUCUAUCUCGUCUCCAAGGCCGGACCUUGUUGGGGACGAGUCGUAACAGCCUGAAAGAGCGGAGCUGGACUAAGGGCUGACUGAAACGAAAAGGAAAAAGAAUGCUCGGAGGCAAGGUAGUGAGAAA